rnacentral:rRNA from 1 species
GAUGAACGCUGGCGGCGUGCCUAAUACAUGCAAGUCGAGCGAACAGACGAGGAGCUUGCUCCUCUGACGUUAGCGGCGGACGGGUGAGUAACACGUGGAUAACCUACCUAUAAGACUGGGAUAACUUCGGGAAACCGGAGCUAAUACCGGAUAAUAUAUUGAACCGCAUGGUUCAUUAGUGAAAGACGGUUUUGCUGUCACUUAUAGAUGGAUCCGCGCCGCAUUAGCUAGUUGGUAAGGUAACGGCUUACCAAGGCAACGAUGCGUAGCCGACCUGAGAGGGUGAUCGGCCACACUGGAGCGGGGACACGGUCCAGACUCCUACGGGAGGCAGCAGUAGGGAAUCUUCCGCAGAGGGCGAAAGCCUGACGGAGCAACGCCGCGUGAGUGAUGAAGGUCUUCGGAUCGUAAAACUCUGUUAUUAGGGAAGAACAAAUGUGUAAGUAACUAUGCACGUCUUGACGGUACCUAAUCAGAAAGCAACGGCUAACUACGUG